rnacentral:lncRNA from 1 species
UAACAACAGCCAUAUUCCUUUAAUAGGAACAUGACAGUUGUUAUCCAUUCGUUUGAUGUGUUUCAGCUUUUGAUUUUGCCAUUUAAUUAGGGACUUUCCUUUUUGAAUAUCCUCAGUAUUUUUGUGAUUACUAGACUAGGAGACCACAUUAGAAAUUGUAAAAUUUGGAUAGAUUUGAAUUGCAUGCAAGCCUGUCAUUUUAUUUGAAUUCCGACUACUUUCUUUUAUUUUAACUUUUUCUAAAGAGACCUACACAGUUAUCUCGUCCUCAUGCUCGAAUAAGGUCUAUAUACAAAAGAAGAUGUGGUAUGAUUGCCAAUGAGACAACUGUCCACAAGAGACCAAAAUGACACAGACAUUAACAACUAUAGGUCACCGUACGGCCUUCAACAAUGAGCAAAGCCCAUACCGCAUAGUCAGCUAUAAAAGGUCCCGAUAAGACAAUGUUAAACAAUUCAAACGAGAAAUCUAACGGCCUUAUUUAUAUAAAAAAAAGAACGAAAACGAAAAAUAAAUAUGUUACAUAUUAACAAACGACAACCACUGCAUUACAGGCUCCUGACUUGGGACAGGCACAUACAUAAAUAAUGUGGCGGGGUUAAACAUGUUAGCGGAAUCCCAACCCUCCCCUAACCUGGGACAGUGGUAUAACAGUACAACAUAAGAACGAACUAUAAAAAUCAGUUGAAAAAGGCUUAACUCAUCAGAUGGACAAAAAUACAAGUGGACUUGGCCGGGUACUUAUACAUCCCGACACAAAACCAGAUCUGAGAGUACUCGCAGUUAUCUGACAGCUAGUUCAAAGUCACUAACAACUCAUAAAAAAUCAUGCAUCUAAGAUUAAACUAUCAAUCCGUAAACAUCCAACAUCCAAUGGAUUUAGUGUAAAGACGUCAUUAACAGCCGGAGAAAAAACAUGACCAUGUGCAAUGCCAAGUUACAGGUAUCGACAGAUUGUAGAUCCAUUAAUAUGUAUACGUAUAUAACAUACUAGUAAUAUUUAGUUAGCUUUUAAUUUACUGAUAACAAAAUCAAUAUUUAUACCAA